ACUCAAAGGAAUUGACGGGGGCCCGCACAAGCGGUGGAGCAUGCGGCUUAAUUCGAUGCUACGCGAAGAACCUUACCUGGGCUUGACAUGGAUGGGACAGGGUAUGAAAGUACCCCUCUGUUAAAAGCCGAUUCACAGGUGCUGCAUGGCUGUCGUCAGCUCGUGUCGUGAGAUGUUCGGUUAAGUCCGGCAACGAGCGCAACCCUUGUUUCUAGUUACCAGCAAGUAAAGUUGGGGACUCUAGAAAGACCAGCUUCUUUAUGAAGCAGGAAGGUGGGGAUGAUGUCAAGUCAGUAUGGCCCUUACGCCCAGGGCUGCACGCGUGCUACAAUGCCUAGUACAGAAGGAUGCAAGAUCGCAAGAUGGAGCUAAUCCCUAAAACUAGGCCCAGUUCAGAUUGAAGUCUGCAACUCGACUUCAUGAAGUUGGAAUCGCUAGUAAUGGCGCAUCAGCAUUGGCGCCGUGAAUACGUUCCCGGGCCUUGCACACACCGCCCGU
rnacentral:rRNA from 1 species